rnacentral:rRNA from 1 species
UACGUAGGGUGCAAGCGUUAAUCGGAAUUACUGGGCGUAAAGCGUGCGCAGGCGGUUGUGCAAGACCGAUGUGAAAUCCCCGGGCUUAACCUGAGAAUGGCAUUGGUGACUGUACGGCUAGAGUGUGUCAGAGGGGGGUAGAAUUCCACGUGUAGCAGUGAAACGCGUAGAGAUGUGGAGGAAUACCGAUGGCGAAGGCAGCCCCCUGGGAUGACACUGACGCUCAUGCACGAAAGCGUGGGGAGCAAACAGG